UACAGAGGUGGCAAGCGUUGUUCGGAAUUACUGGGCGUAAAGGGCGCGUAGGCGGCCUUCUAAGUCAGACGUGAAAUCCCCCGGCUUAACCUGGGAACUGCGUCUGAUACUGGAGGGCUUGAGUAUGGGAGAGGGAUGUAGAAUUCCAGGUGUAGCGGUGAAAUGCGUAGAUAUCUGGAGGAAUACCGGUGGCGAAGGCGGCAUCCUGGACCAUUACUGACGCUGAGGCGCGAAAGCUAGGGGAGCAAGCGGG
rnacentral:rRNA from 1 species